GUGCAUAUGAUGGAAAAUGUUUAAUCUGAGACUUGUGAUGUCUUCAAAGGAACCACUGAUGCAC